UUGCAGUGACUGAAAUUGAUGCACAAGAUGCUAAAAAGACGGAUAAGCUGAGCUAUGCAUUGGCGGUUGUCACGUCAAUUCAAUUAUAAACUAAUUGUGGAACACAAGGGGUGGACUAGUUGGCGAAGAUGAUAAGGCAAACGGUCUGUGACAACUAAUCCAUCAAGCUAAGAAACUGGAGGAUUGGGAGGAGCAAAUAUUGAGUGGUCAAGCUCAUCCGAAUGCUCCUGCUAAUGUUGUUUGAAGCAAGAAAACUCGCCACCAGGUAGCUUUGUGUACGGAAAUCAUGGUAAUGGGAAUAGUAAUGAAGAUUUCCAGUCUGCAGCUUUGUGCUCUUUGUCUCAAAUUAUGCCAACCACUACUGCUGCCUCAGCCUCAUCUCCUAAGUCGUCUUGUGUGACGAGUUUCUGUAGCAACUUGUUGGAUUUCUCUAACAAGUCGGAGGGGAGGCAUCCACCACCGAGCCGAUCCAGCUCCGAGUGUAACAGCAGUGCAAGUGUGCAACUGGUGAGGCAGUUAAGAAAGCUAGGGCUCAACCUUCUUCUUCAGCCCAACCUACCUUCAAGCUAUAACUUCAGGGUGAGGAAGGAGAAAUUAGGCGACAGAAUUACAGCUCUUCAUCAGCUGGUUUCCCCAUUUGGGAAGACUGACACAGCUCUGUUUUGUUAGAGGCUAUUGGGUAUAUCAGAUUCAAAAUGAGGCCCUGAGCUUACCUUACUUGGGCAGUGGAUCACCAAACAUGUGCCAGCAGCAGCAACAGUCUGCAGUUCAUGGGGAGAGGAACUGUAAGUUUCCUGAGGCCAGAUUGAUGAGAGGAUGAAAGAUGCUCUUCAGGUUGACUGUACCAAUAUGCCCCAGUUAUCGAACUUAUCAAUGUGCUUGUCACAAAGCCGAAGAUUCCUGAUAGUAUCAGAAGAAACUUUGAGCAAAUGGAGGAAGAGCGCACUAAGGCAACUGAGCAUGUGGGAGUAGUUAGGCUUUCCAGAUUAUAUUACUGGGAUAUACCUGUUGCUGUAACAACUGUUGUUGGCUCAAAUGAGGGUCCAAGGCCUGAAGAAGACUAUGUUGACUUGAUUAUCUGGAAGGAAAAUUGGAUAAUGCGCAUCCAAUAUGUCAUGUAACAAGUUGUUUAUACACAACUCUUGGACAUGUACAAUUCUUGGACCGGCACCACCUGCUAAUAAAGUUUGGUAGUGUAGAGGGAGUGAUAUCACGUAAUACUGAUCUCCACCUAGCUGUGAAGUGGCUUGAAAGCUUUGUGGGUCUCAAAAUGGCUCCUUUCAGGUAUCAUCAGUAUCAGGUUGUGGGGAGAGCUCUCCCAACUGAGAAGGAUGAGCAUCCCAAGAUCUUCCACAUGGCACACCAAUGAGGUCCAUGCCAAAUCCAAAUUUUGGUACUUGGUGAGGAACUUGAAGAAGGUGAAGAAGAGCAAUGGGAAAAUCUUGGCCAUCAAUGAGUACUUUGAGAAUGUCCGAAACUUCCUGGUUGCUGCUGAAGAGUUGAAGCUGCCCGCUUUUGAAGCUUCUGAUCUUGGAAGGGACACAUUAGAGGCAGGAUCAGCAGGGACGUUGUUGAUUGUCUUUCAGCCCUUAGAUCAUAUAAUGAGUGGAAGCAGAUGCGCAAUGAAUAUGGAAACAUGGAAGGAAUUUGAAGAGGGUUUCAUAGCAUUGUAGAGGGUAUAUUGAAAUGAGUUGUGAGGUGUGGUUCGGAGUCAUAGUUGUAAUAUGUUGGAUAUAAUUUUGCCAUUUACUACGUAGCUUUGCGAUCUUGCACCAAGUCCCGGAAGGUCAUGUUGGAGUUGCUCUUUUAAAGACUAUUACUGAUACAGAUCGAUCAAGUAAUUUUCUGAUCUAAACGCAAUAUGACCAUGUUCAAGUCACCUUUCAGAUCCACCAAGUGAGGGAUAUUCCAUGCGGUACAAAAGGGGGUGUCAUGACCGACUUUGAGAAGAUAGAGGUUGUAAACAGGCUGCGUAAGGAAUAUGUGUAUGAGAAACUUCUCAAUUAUGGUGUGCGCUAUGACAAGACAUGGAUCUAUGACAAAAUUCAUCAUGAGAUCAAUCAGUUCUGCAGCUUGAAUUCUCUGCAAGAUGUCUAUAUUGAUGUGUUUGAUCAGUUUUGUUUUGGUAUCCAUUUGCAUUUGGAUAUAGACUGUUGGUACUGCAUCACUUGGAACUUGAGGAUGGCAUAAGUCACCUGAACUUGGGAAAGAACAGAGAGGUAGGUGAUCAUGUUUAAGCUAUGCUUGAAGCUGCAAGGUGAGUUUUCCAAAGCAUCAUUACUCAGAUACUAUCUAUCUGUGCAUUUUGGAGUUUUGUUUUGGUAUCCGUUUUCAUUUGGAUAUAGACUGUUGGUACUGCAUCACUUGGAACUUGAGGAUGGCAUAAGUCACCUGAGCUCGGGAAAGGUUUUUGGAUUUGCCCUGAGCUUACUUUACUUGGGCAGUGGAUCACCAAACAUGUGCCUGCAGCAGCAACAGUCUGCAGUUCAUGGGGAGAGUAACUCUGCUGAAUGAUAACUGCAUGAAGAUGAAAGGAGUUAGUGCCGAGUAGGUUGCUUAUGAAGAGUCAAAGAAGGACCUGAGGAGUAGGGGUUUGUGUUUCGUUCCGAUUUCUUGUACCCUUCAAGUUGGGAGCGACAACAGAGCAGAUUACUCACUAUUGUAAAAUUUAGGAUUUCAUCUCAAGCCGUCUCUGAUAACCCAGUAUGACCAUGUUCAAGUCAUCCUUCAAAUCGAUCAAGUGAGGGAUAUUCCAUACAAAAGGGGGUGUCAUGAUUAACUUUGAGAAGAUUGAGGUUGUGAACAAGCUGCGUAAAGAAUAUGGGUAUGAGACACUUCUCAAUUAUGUUGUGCACUAUGACAAGAUGUGGAUCUAUGACAAAAUUCAUCAAGAGAUCAAUCAGUUCUGUAGCUUGAAUUCUCUCAAUAUGUCGAUCUAUAUUGAUGUGUUUGAUCAGAUUGAUGAGAGGAUGAAAGAUGCUCUUCAGGUUGACUGUACCAAUAUGCCCGAGUUAUCGAAAUUAUCAAUGUGCUUGUCACAAAGCCGAAGAUUCCUGAUAGUAUCAGAAGAAACUUUGAGCAAAUGGAGGAAGAGCGCACUAAGGCAACUGAGCAGGUGGGAGUAGUUAGGCUUUCCAGAUUAUAUUACUGGGAUAUACCUGCUGCUGUAACAACUGUUGUUGGCUCAAAUGGU